rnacentral:ncRNA from 1 species
AUAGUUUUGAUCCUAGACUUACCGUUGCUUUUUACUAAGAUUAUACAUGCAAGUCUCAGCAUGCCCGUGAAAAUGCCCAAAACCCCUAAAAAGAACCCCUGGAGCAGGCAUCAGGCACCACCCCCACCCCCGCCCAUAACGCCUUGUCUUACCACACCCCCACGGGAUUUCAGCAGUAAUAAAUAUUGGGCAAUAAGUGAAAACUUGACCCAACUAUAGCAUUAAGGGCUGGUUAAUUUCGUGCCAGCCACCGCGGUUAGACGAAAGGCCCAAGACAACGAACACACGGCGUAAAUUGUGACUAGAAACACUUAACAGGAAAAAAAUUAAACUCACAGACUAGUUGUAAAACACUCAGACUAUGAAGGAAACCCACAGUAAUUUUUUCUGCCUUAUGUCUUUGACCACACGAAAGCCUAGAAACAAACUAGGAUUAGAUACCCUACUAUGCUAGGCCUUUAACAUUGAUAGUAAAAAUACUCUACUAUCCGCCAGAGAACUACAAGUGAAAAACUUUAAACUCAAAGGAUUUGGCGGUGUCCCAUACCUGCCUAGAGGAGCCUGUCCUAUAAUCGAUACUCCCCGUUCCACCCAACCUCAACUAGCACCUCCAGUCUAUAUACCGCCGUCGACAGUCUACCCCAUGAGGGCCCAAUAGUAGACACAACAAUUUCCCACUAACACGUCAGGUCAAGGUGUAGCAUACGUUGAGGAAGAGAUUGGCUACAUUUUUUAUGAUAAAAAAUACGAAAUGCAAUAUGAAACCCCGCAUAAAGGUGAAUUUAGUAGUAAGAUAAACAAGAGUGUUUGUCUUAAUUAUGCUCUGGGACGCGCACACACCGCCCGUCACCCUCCUCAAUACACAAUUUUCCCUACAUAAACCAACUUAACCCACUAGAGGAGGCAAGUCGUAACAUGGUAAGCGCACCGGAAGGUGUGCUUGGAAUAA